rnacentral:rRNA from 1 species
UACGGGGGGGGCAAGCGUUGUUCGGAAUUACUGGGCGUAAAGGGCUCGUAGGCGGCCAACUAAGUCCGACGUGAAAUCCCCAGGCUUAACCGGGGAACUGCGUCUGAUACUGGAUGGCUUGAGUUUGGGAGAGGGAUGCGGAAUUCCAGGUGUAGCGGUGAAAUGCGUAGAUAUCUGGAGGAACACCGGUGGCGAAGGCGGGUCUCUGGGCCGAUACUGACGCUGAGGAGCGAAAGCGUGGGGAGCGAACAGG